rnacentral:rRNA from 1 species
UACGUAGGGGGCAAGCGUUGUCCGGAAUCAUUGGGCGUAAAGAGCGUGUAGGCGGCCAUGCAGGUCCGCUGUGAAAACUGGAGGCUUAACCUCCAGACGUCGGUGGAAACCGCAUGGCUAGAGUCCGGAAGAGGAGAGUGGAAUUCCCGGUGUAGCGGUGAAAUGCGCAGAUAUCGGGAAGAACACCCGUGGCGAAGGCGGCUCUCUGGGACGGUACUGACGCUGAGACGCGAAAGCGUGGGGAGCGAACAGG